AGUUCGUACAGGACAUGUGCAAACCGCAACUGUAUCAAAACUAGUCGCGAAUCACAAACAUUAGAGAUAGCUGAAUGUAUAGUGUAAGCACCAUGCUUGGAAGACGAAGAUAGGCUGGUAGACAUGCGCUAAGGAUAACGCGCUGCUGUCGUGCAAAUCUUGUGGGUCCGUAUUCUCAGUGCUGACAGCGCAGCAAUGACAGGAUCCGCUGCUUCGAAGAAACAGCUUUUGCCUUUAUCCCAGACAUCGUCGAAUUUUAACGAAGAUGCAUUUCAACGGGAGCUCCAGCAGCUUCGCGUUAGUAGGAUUCACGCAUACCCCACGACCAUAUUCGCCAGAGGUGGCCCAAUGCCGACUGUGCCCUCUCGUAAUAGCAUAACUAUUACGGGCCGGAAUGUAUCCCGAACUUCAUUGUUUGAAGCUGGAGCUUCGCCUUGUGACUCGGACGACGUCAGAGCCAUGCAGACCAUGUCCCCUGAACACAUGGAACCAGCAGCGAGGACUCCGGAACCGCGACCGUCAUCUUGCGACAAGGAUGAUGCCAAGAAGUCCGAGCCAUAGACUGCUCGCCACACAACCAGAACAGCGCACCGAUUAGCCUGAUUCGCCGAAAAACCGCAACGAAAAGUGUGCAGCACAGGUAGAAUGAAAUAGUCUCUGACAGCAGAAUAAAAUCGUCUUCUGCAUGAGUA